ACUCUCCUGCCAAGACAGCGGUGGAGCGUCCCGUAGUCUCUGCGCAAGGGGUAUAUUCCGCUCCCAGCAUCUCCGCACUCCCCCGCAGGGCAGCAAUGGGCCAGUCCACGGACUCCCCUACUUCUUGAGGUGUUCCAGGGAAAAGCCCCAAAAUAUUAGAGCCAGAGGAAACUUGUUUGGAUCUCUUCGUUGAAAGUUUUUUUCUUUUUCUUUCUUCAUUGUAAAUGUAAUAUGAUAUAACUACAUUAGAGAAAAUUUUAAAAGUUCAAAUAAAGAAAUCAUUAUUCU